GAUGAACGCUAGCUACAGGCUUAACACAUGCAAGUCGAGGGGCAGCAUGCAGGUAGCUUGCUAUCUGUGAUGGCGACCGGCGCACGGGUGAGUAACGCGUGGGUAACCUGCCCUGUACAGGGGGAUAACAGUUAGAAAUGACUGCUAAUACCGCAUAAGCGCACAGUACCGCAUGGUACAGUGUGAAAAACUCCGGUGGUACAGGAUGGACCCGCGUCUGAUUAGCUAGUUGGCAGGGUAACGGCCUACCAAGGCAACGAUCAGUAGCCGACUUGAGAGAGUGAUCGGCCACAUUGGGACUGAGACACGGCCCAAACUCC
rnacentral:rRNA from 1 species